AUUGACUCACUUGCACCUGGCGGGAAUGGCAUCUGGUUCGUCUCAGAGCUCUGGCCGAGCAUCGAAAACUCCUUCUCGUUCUGCCUUUGUCGAUCCCGACUAUCUUCUCAUUUCGGGAGAUAGGGAAGAAGGCGUCGAGAGUCUGAGCGCGCUCGAUCGUCGAGACAACGACCCGGAGCUGGACGACCCUCUUCAGGUCAUUUUCGACAGUCAAGCACGCCUAGAGGAGGAAUCGGAGGAGGAUAGCGAAGCGUCCGAAGAGGAGAGGGAGGGAUUGGCAUGGUCUUCGAGAGGAGAACUAGGUGCUCACCUUCAACGAUUAACCAUUUUGACCAUUCCUAGCUCUAGCACUGAGUCAGAAUCAGAAAGUGAAGGAAAGAGAAGGAGGAAAGAACGGAGAACAGGAGUCAAGAGAAGAGAAGUGAGAGCAAGAGGAGGAAGGAGAGUAAGAGGAGGGAGAGCAGCGAAAAGAGUGAAACUAAGAGAUCAGGAGGAUGCGAGACAGAGGAAGAAGAGGGAGUUGGAGGAGACGAUGCUAGCUGGAGAUGAGGAUAACUGUGUCUGCUGUGUCGCGAUGUUUGUCUGUCUGUUUGUGUGUGUGUGUGUGUGUGUGUGUGUGUGUGUGUGUGUGUGUGUGUGUGUUUGUGUCUGUCUGUCUGUCGGUCUGUGUGUGUCUGGUUGUCUGUCUGUCUGUCUAGUUGUCUGUGUGUGUGUGUGUGUGUGUGUGUGUGUGUGUGUGUGUGUGUGUGUGUGUGUGCGUGCAGGUGUGUGUGUGUGUGUGUGUGUGUGUGUGUGUGUGUGUGCGUGCAGGUGUGUGUGUGUGUGUGUGUGCGCGUGCAGGUGUGUGUGUGUGUGUAUGUGAGUGAGUGAGUGAGUGAGAGAGACAAUAAGAGAGAACGAGUACUUUAGUACUGUACUGCACUUCACAGGCACAGUGAACGUUGUACCUACAUGCCACCGCAGCCAAAGUCCGGCUGGACUGAAGAGAAAAAGAGACUACUGCAACUAGAGGCACAUCAUCCAGACUGUGAGGAUAUCGUCAUUUCCCUUCCUCCAUUUCAACCCACACGUUCUGUCGGAGCUCAUCUACCCCGUCGCCUACCCGACAACCCCACACCUCUCGACCUUUUCUCCCCCUACUUCAACGACGACAUCCUCCACCAGAUGGCGGCCUGGAUCAGCAGCAAGAGAAGAUAUAGGAAAGCCACCGAGAAGAGCUUCCGAUGGCAGCAUGACACCACCCCCAGGAGCUCAGAGCCUAUUUUGGCCUUUUGUUGGGCAUGGGAUUAGUCCGUCUGCCUCAAAUCUCUCACCACUGGUCCCAGAGUAAAUUCUGGGGCCACACCUUCUUUAAGGAAAUCAUGUCGGGACGACGGUUCAAUGCAGUCUCUCGUUCUUUGAUGAUGAAUGAAUUCGUUAUUCCUAAGAGACGACCGUCGUCCCAAGAGAUCGGGGCAGAGGGCACAGCACGCCUCACAGAGCCGGUUCCUGACCCAGCUUUGGGGUACAGGAAAGAGAACAACCAGCUAGCCCUAGUGCUGAGGGCCACAAGGUACCCAAUCCCAGUCGUGGGGAUCAGGGUGCCACUACACCAACAGCAGACCGGCUCUUUAAGAUCCGACUAUUGCUUCAGCAGAUGAGGCGUGCUUGCCGCAUGUAUUGCCAACCCGAGCAGAAGCUUGCGAUCGACGAACGAAUGCUUCGUUUAAAGGAAGGUCCGGCAUGCGGCAAUACAUGCCCAACAAACCCAUCAAGUGGGGCUUCAAGCUAUGGGUCCUGGCAACAUCGGACUCAUCCUCUCCCGGUGGAGCCGGUUACGUCGUUGACUUUGACGUGUAUGUAGGCUCCCAGGGCG